GCCUAAUACAUGCAAGUCGAACGAAGAUUUACUUAAGCUUGCUUAAGUAGAUUUUAGUGGCGAACGGGUGAGUAAUACAUAAGUAAUCUGCCCUUUAGACUGGGAUAACUGUUGGAAACGACAGCUAAUACCGGAUAGGUCAAUUGAAGGCAUCUUCGAUUGAUUAAAGGUUAGAAACACUAAAGGAUGAGCUUAUGGCGCAUUAGCUAGUUGGUGAGGUAACGGCCCACCAAGGCGAUGAUGCGUAGCCGACCUGAGAGGGUGACCGGCCACACUGGGACUGAGACACGGCCCAGACUCCUACGGGAGGCAGCAGUGGGGAAUAUUGGGCAAUGGGGGAAACCCUGACCCAGCAAUGCCGCGUGCAGGAAGACGGCCUUAUGGGUUGUAAACUGCUUUUAUACGGGAGCAAUAAGGGUUACGAGUAAUCCGAUGAGAGUACUGUAUGAAUAAGGAUCGGCUAACUCCGUGCCAGCAGCCGCGGUAAUACGGAGGAUCCGAGCGUUAUCCGGAAUUAUUGGGUUUAAAGGGUGCGUAGGCGGCCAUUUAAGUCAGCGGUGAAAUUUUGCAGCUUAACUGUAACAGUGCCGUUGAUACUGUUUGGCUAGGAUUUGGUUGUAGUGUGCGGAAUGUGUGGUGUAGCGGUGAAAUGCUUAGAUAUCACACAGAACACCGAUUGCGAAGGCAGCACACUAAGUCAUUAUUGACGCUGAGGCACGAAAGUGUGGGGAUCAAAAGGGCUUAGAUACCCUGGUAGUCCACACCUGUAAACGAUGAUAACUCGCUGUCGGCGAUACACAGUCGGUGGCCAAGCGAAAGCAUUAAGUUAUCCACCUGGGGAGUACGACCGCAAGGUUGAAACUCAAAGGAAUUGACGGGGGCCCGCACAAGCGGAGGAACAUGUGGUUUAAUUCGAUGAUACGCGAGGAACCUUACCCGGGCUCGAACGGUGCAUGAAUAUACGAGAGAUUGUAUAGUCCUUCGGGACAUGUAUCGAGGUGCUGCAUGGUUGUCGUCAGCUCGUGCCGUGAGGUGUCGGCUUAAGUGCCAUAACGAGCGCAACCCUUGUCAUUAGUUGCCAUCAGGUCAAGCUGGGGACUUUAAUGAGACUGCCACCGUAAGGUGUGAGGAAGGGGGGGAUGACGUCAAAUCAGCACGGCCCUUAUGUCCGGGGCGACACACGUGUUACAAUGGGAGGUACAGAGGGCAGCUAUCCGGUGACGGAAUGCUAAUCUCCAAAACCUUUCUCAGUUCGGAUUGGAGUCUGCAACUCGACUCCAUGAAGGUGGAUUCGCUAGUAAUCGCGCAUCAGCCAUGGCGCGGUGAAUACGUUCCCGGGCCUUGUACAAAGCGCCCGUCAA
rnacentral:rRNA from 1 species